GGUGGAGGUUCAUAAAUUUGGGUUUAGGAACCCUCAUAACAAUUGUUGUGGCAGUCCACAUAUGGAAGAGAACUAAAGGAAACAGAACACAGAUGGACGACAACGCUGAGGGUAGAGUGACCUAUGAAAAUGUUGAAGAACCUUCUGCUUCUGUCCAACUCCACUGAUGAACAACUUCAACAUCCAC